GAUGCUCGGCCCGCUUUGAGGAAAGUCGAUCCUCGCGUCGUCCUCGUCGUUUUGGUCCACUCGGCUCGCUAAUUCGGUGAGUUUAACUCACUAAACCUCGCUUAGAGGGUUAAUUAUGCUUAGGGAUGUUUAGUUUAUGUUAAGUAUUAUUAGGUUGUUAGUUUAGGUUAAUUAAGAGUAGAUUUGAUUAAGGUUGUGGUUUAAUUUAAAGUGUGCUUAAUUAAGGGUAAGUAGGUUUAUUUAAAAUAAGCCUUGAUUUGACUUAAAUGAAUUUACUUUUGAUUUAUUUAAAUGUCUCGAAAUUAUUAUAUAAUUUAAUAAUAUAUUUUAUUCGAAAUUAAUAAAAUAUUAUUAUUUAAUUAUUUUCGGAAUAAAUUUAAUUAUUUAUUAAAUUCCGAAAUUUUUGUGAGGACCCUAAAUUCUCAGAAUUUCGUACCAGUCGCUGUUGUGUAGUCAGAUUUUGAAAUUGACGAUUGGAUUUUAUAAAUUGAGUGUGGAUCGUGAAAGACAUGGAUAUUAUUAUUUAAUUAAUUUUCGGAAUAAAUUUAAUUAUUUGAUAAAUUCUGAAAAUUAGUUUGGAACCUUCUUCUCUCAUAAUUUCGUGCUGAUCGCUGCUGUGUAUUUAUAAUUUGAAUUUGAUGAUUGAUUGUGGCAAAUGGAGUGUGAUUGUGAUAAAUAGGGAUUCUUUAUAAAUCCUAAGUGUAGAAAUUGAUGGGAGAUUGGCCGUGAUGUACCACCUAGGAAAGGUCGUGCCCAGUGAGGCCGUGACGUACCACCUAAGAAAGGUCGUGCCCAGUGAGGCCGUGAUGUACCACCUAGGAAAGGUCGUGCCCAGUGAGGCCGUGAUGUACCACCUAGGAAAGGUCGUGCCCAGUGAGGCCGUGAUGUACCACCUAGGAAAGGUCGUGCCCAGUGAGGCCGUGAUGAACCACCUAUGAGAGGUCGUGCCCAGUGAGGCCAUGAUGAACCACCUAUGAGAGGUCGUGCCCAGUGAGGCCGUGAUGUACCACCUAUGAGAGGUCGUGCCCAGUGAGGAGGUCGUGCCUAAUAGGGCCGUGAUGAACCACCUAUGAGAGGUCGUGCCUAAUAGGGCCGUGAUGAACCACCUAUGAGAGGUCGUGCCCAGUGAGGCCGUGAUGUACCGCCUAGGAGAGGUCGUGCCGAGUGGGGCCGUGAUUGCCACUGAUUGUUAAACCUUCCUAUAGGGCCGUAAUUGAGAGCAAUGAUUGAUUUGCUAGAAUGACAUGUAAUCGGCCGAGUCGAUUGAUCGCUGAGACGAUCCAAGUGGUUGAAUUGUUUGAUAAUGUUAUUGUGCCAUAAUUGUUUGGUUACCAUAAUUGUACGUGGUUGAAUUAUGUAAAUUGUGCUAACCUGCAGAUGAAGGCUGAGGCGAGGUAAGUCUUCUGUGUGAUGGUGGCUAGGCCACUCGGGGCGUAUUUUCUUUCUAAUAGGAGUUUAGGGGGUUGAACUUGCUGAGACGUUGUCUCAGUGGUUAUUGAAUAACCAUUUCAGGUCCCUGGUGGACGGAGCGACCAGAUAGCUUUGGUUGGCCUUGAGGAGUUGCAGAGGUGAAGUCAUAAGAUUGGAGAACGUGUCCGACUUGUAGGUCGUAGGACAAUUCAUUUUUAAGAGCCGGUCUUUUG
rnacentral:lncRNA from 1 species